UACGUAGGUGGCAAGCGUUGUCCGGAUUUACUGGGCGUAAAGAGCGCGCAGGCGGUCGUUCAAGUCGCGUGUGAAAGCCCCCGGCUCAACUGGGGAGGGUCACGCGAUACUGAUCGACUGGAAGGCAGGAGAGGGAUGCAGAAUUCCAGGUGUAGCGGUGAAAUGCGUAGAUAUCUGGAGGAACACCGAUGGCGAAGGCAGCUGCCUGGCCUGACACUGACGCUGAGGUGCGAAAGCGUGGGGAGCGAACGGG
rnacentral:rRNA from 1 species